ensembl:lncRNA
CCCCAGCAACACCAGGCACAGCCUUAGCUUUUCUCUUUGCUGCUUCUGUCCAUGGGUGAAGAAAAGCCAUGUUUUCCCUCCUCGGCAAGGCUUGGCUCCUGGUUUUUCUCCCUAUCCUGUUCCUUUCAGCUCUGGCGUCUCCAUGCUGACCACGUUGACCGUCACCAGCCAGCACCCCCUCCCCUAGGUUUCAGCGUGUGAGAGCCUGGGGGCUGGAGAGCUGGGCUGAGGCAGCCAGCACACAACGGCCAACAGCUGACCUCAGCCACUGGCGGCCAGCUAACUGCGUGCUUCUGCUCCAACAACCCACACGACCUGGUUUUACACUAGAAGAUUCUCAAGCUCAGCUCUUAUGCCUGCCUGUGCUUGGAGUACUUGGUUGUCACUGACCUGCCUCUCUACAAGGGCCCUUCCCAGGCUUUUCCAUCCCCAAGGAUUCACCUCCCCUGAGUCUACUUAUGGAUCCUGGAUGAGAAACCCUUGGAAAGUCUGGUCCAAAUUGGCUUCCUGGAAUCCCUGGCCCAGCUUUCCUGUGUUCCUGCUCACAGGGGACUGUUCAGCGAGUAUACUCCCUCCUCAACUCCUUGUCUUCCUCUGCCCCACCCCCCAACAUGAGGGCUCUAACUUCCUUCCUGUAAUAUUGGUUCCCACCACAACCAGUCCAGGUGGAGCUGUGUUACCUCUUGGAGCCCAGUUUGUCCAUCUGCACAGCAGGAAGGAAAGUAACAGCCAACUGCCAGAGUUUGUCUCAAGGAGGAGAAAACUGAAUAUACUACAUGGACUCUGGAGCCCUGAAUAACUCUAAGCCAUGGAAAUCUGGAAGCUGUUUGCGUAAAAGGCCCAGGCAUUAUGUUUUUUGAAUGGUUAAAAGCAGUUCUCACACUAAG